CCUUGUACACACCGCCCGUCACACCAUUGGGAGUUGGUUUUACCUGAAGACGGUGCGCUAACCGCAAGGGGGCAGCCGGCCACGGUAGGAUCAGCGACUGGGGUG
rnacentral:rRNA from 1 species